rnacentral:misc_RNA from 1 species
GGGUUUGGGAAAGGGCGAAAAAAAUAAGGCGGAGAAACGUCAUCGGCAUACUGUGGCUGUGGCGAAUAUAAGCCCAGAAGCUCACAUUUCAUCUCAAUUCUACACUUUCAAUAAGGAAUCACAUGCCCUGAUGAUACGCUGUCUUCUCGCGGGCCGUGCGGCGACGCCGGAGGAAAUUCGAUCUGUGACGCCGUCGUCGGUGCUUCAAAGCUGGCGUUUGGUGUGGAAGGACCGGAAUGAGGACACGGCAUACCUCAC